AAAGACCUUCUGGGUUAGAAUCUGUAAUCCAGACCAACCGAUAAUAGAGACACCCCUUUGGAGACCAAUCUUCUAGCUCUAAGAUAGAAUACAACCUUUUCCUUAAUAGAUAGGGAAUGAAUCCACCCUCCCAUUCCAUAAAUGGCUCACCAGGGAGCCGAAAGACAACCUUUCUAUGGAUCCCAUAUCCUAAUGGCGCAUAGAAUGAG
rnacentral:lncRNA from 1 species